CAGUUGCACAUGCAAUAGAGGAAGAAAGAAGCCCCAGUCAAAUAAUAUAUGCACCUAUAAAGUACGACAAUCCAGCAAAUGACGCCUUACAAACGGAGACAUAUGAGGAGGAGCUGAUGUACACCGAGGUGGAGAUCACCCGCCAUAGGCAGCCCACGCUGGACUAAGAGGCAGUUCAUCUCAACAAGCUUCUCAAGAUUGCUUCAUUCGCAGUGUGGACCACUUUUAAGCACUCUACACCUUUCCACUGUUAAUGUCACACAACUGCUAUAAUCUUCUACUUGGCUUCCGUGGUUAAACAAAUGCACGGAUAAUUUCACACGACAACGUCG